rnacentral:rRNA from 1 species
UACGAAGGGGGCUAGCGUUGAUCGGAAUCACUGGGCGUAAAGCGCACGUAGGCGGCUUUUUAAGUCAGGGGUGAAAUCCUGGAGCUCAACUCCAGAACUGCCUUUGAUACUGCGGAGCUCGAGUCCGGGAGAGGUGAGUGGAACUCCGAGUGUAGAGGUGAAAUUCGUAGAUAUUCGGAAGAACACCAGUGGCGAAGGCGGCUCACUGGCCCGGUACUGACGCUGAGGUGCGAAAGCGUGGGGAGCAAACAGG